UAUGGAUUCUGGUAUUGAUGUCGAAAGUUUAUAGCAUGAGUUGCAACCUGCUAACCUUAAGAUCAAAUCCGAAUUCCUCAGCCCCCGCAGUCUUCUCAUCAUCAUUCUCCUUCUUCUUCUGAAGCUCCUACGAAACAAUCAGGGGCGAAUCCUGCCCAGUUGAUGGAGAAUUUCCUAAAAGCUUUUGGUUCCUGUAAGUCUAGGAUGUUACUCCUCUGUUUCCGUUGGUGUUGAGGGCAGUGCUUCUUUACGAUCAGAUGCUUCCAAUGCAAACAUUUACCAUCGAUUGGAGCUAUCAUUCGAUUCCUUGGGAUCUGUUAGCUAUUCAUCCCAAUGCGUUCACUGGGUCGGACAGAUUUUGGCUUCUCUGUAUUUGGAAUCAUCACAAAACUUAGUUUCGAGCCAAAUAUCCUCACUUUGACAACUUACUUGGGCUCUGUACAGUAGAUAAAAGGGAUCAGGCUAAAAAGUUUGUUCCACAAGCUACUCUCUUCUCUGAAAUGAGUAGGACUGACAUGAGUAGGAUACACACGUCGCCAAAUGUUUUCAUGUAUACUUCUUUCAUUUUCCGUUUUUGAUUUAUUGCUUCAAAGUGGGCAGAAGCAUGUCAUUGUCUUUUUCAACUAUUUGAUUCAUGGGCUAUGGAACUCUGAACUUGUGGAAAGAAGCUUAUAAGUUGUUAGAUGAAAUGUUGAAAUGAGGAAUUUUAGCGCAUGCAAUUACCUUUGGUAUGUAUGUGUUGCGGUUCUUUGUAGAGAAGAAAUGGCCAAAGAAGCACAUGAGCUACUAGAUUUAUGGUUCAAAGAGGCAUAGAACCCAACAAGGCUACAUUCGAUCCAUUGAUAGAUGAUUAUUGUUUACUAGGAAAUGUAUCGCAUUCAUUUGAUUCCUUACACUAUAACUUAUAAUGUUCUUAUUGGUGUACCCGGUGGGCCGAAUUGAGUUUGCCCUAGAGCGCUCUUCAAUGAAAUGCUAGUUCAAGGGCAAAAUCCUGAUGUCUACACCUAUGCUGAUUGCUGGAUGGGUUAUGCACAGACAAGUGCAUUGGGUAAGCAAUGGAAUUGUUUCAUGAAAUAGAAUGUAGUGAACUUCAGUUGAAUGCUGCAAAUCUUCCUUGCUGUUAUGCUUAGUCCAUAGACUUGAGAUGCAAGGAGACUUUUCAGUAUCAUCUUUGAGAAAGAUUGGAACCAAGUGUUAGAACAUGUACCAUAAUUUGUAAAUGGCCUCUUCAAAGAGGGUUUGUCUGUUGAAUCUGAAGAUCUACUCGUGAAAAUGAAAGGGAAGGGUUGUUCGCCAAAAGAGAUCCACAAGUCAGUCUGCCUUCUUAGUGAAAUGUGUCACAGGUGUUUCUUGCCAGAUGCAAAAAAAACAUCUUGGUAUUAGACUUGCUUUAAAGAGUGACCUAGAUCUUGAAUGUCUUCAUGAACUUGGAAAAUUUGUGCAAAAUGGAAAAUGAGGAGGUAAUUUUUUGAAUGACAAAUCUGUAGCACUGCACUGACAUUAGUCUAUACUGAAAUUCAAUUCAGAUGCUGUACUUGGAUCUAAUUUCAACACUUUGGCAUGGAAGCAUGUAAGCCAGAUAUUCUGGGCUUAAGCAUCAUCCUGCUUCUCAGGUGUGAAAGUACGAGUUAUUUCUACCUCUCUUGUAGUUUCCUUCAUUGGAAUAUGUUCCAUGCUGCCAGUAAGAUGCCUUCACCACCGAGUAAGAUAUGGCAAAGAGGAAAGAGGAGCACGAUGGGUUCUUGCACAAAGAGGUCACUACAUGGGCUCCAAUUCAAGAAACAUUAACCUCUUCGCUCUUUAGAAUGAUAUGGAAGCUAUUGCAGAACAGGUCAAGAGACAACUGAGGUUGCAGGGCUUUGUAAUCUGCAUACACUGGGUAGGUGGUGAAGCUGAAAAGUGUUGAAUUUGAUACAAUGCAACAACAUUGUUUUGUUAUGUAAAGAAGAAGAAAGAGGUAAGCUGCUCCGUCUGAAUUUUUGGAAGUUUUUUCGUGAUACUGUUGUGUUAUAGAACCAACUAAUUUUUGUAUAGCUACCUCUUGAAGACCUCUAAGUACUACCAAAGGAUGCCUUUUUCUGUAGACACUACAGGCAAGCCCCAUUUUUUUUUUGGUAAAGAUAUCUUCACUAUUCAACUAACCUUAGUUCAUGCGACCAAGCAACUUUUACAAACUUUUCAUUUCAAUUUGACUAUUACAUUUGAUUUUGAAUUUUUUUUUUUUUUUGGGGGUGGGGAGGAGGGGGGGAUGAGUUCCUGUUGAUGGCAAUGCCGAAGGUGGGAUCUCAGAUUUCUUUGUGAUACAAGUUGUAUCUGUCUUGGUAUGUAUAGGGUAUGCCUAGAUGUUAAUCAUACGACCCUCCAAGUUAUACAUGGAGGGGUGCACCAAUGAGGUGCAUGCAACAAAUUGGUAUUGUAAAUUGAAGAGCAGCAAAGUCAUUUCAUGGGAAGAGAGAUAGACAUAUAGGUGCUAGUGUACCCUACCCCAGUCGCUCAAAGGACCUUUUUCUUUUAAUUAUAUAUCAAGUAGUCAUUUUGCAACUUUAUUGUCGACCUUGAACAGAAUUUUUGUCAGUAGUCACAUAUAUGAGACCCUUGUGACCUUCAAAUAUCUUAAUCAAUCAAAAGGGGGUUCAACAAGAAAGUCGUUUCAAUCCAAUCCAUUCUUGGAGUCCCAAAAAGACAAAAAAAGGAGAUGUCCGUGACAUAACUUGACAAAGCACUCUUCGAGGGCAUGGAAUGUCUAAUUUUUCAGUCAUAAUCUCGCAGUAAUGUCUCUGUCAGAUUCUUCAAUUGAAACACAGGAAAACUGCAUUCAAUCCUCGAUGGAAAUGGAGUUUUGCAAAUCCUCCCCGAAACUGGAAGUUCAUUUGGAGAUCUUCAAACAUUUUCGAGGGUUCAAUGUGACUAUUGUCAACAAGAAAAGAUCCAUGUACAACGUAUAAGCUUUAUUUAACAGCAUUCUCUGUUUCAAGUGGUGUUUUUUUCCCUUUCAGUUCAAGGACUACUCAGCCAGAAGGGUUACAUAAAGACCCACAAAAGGCCAGACAAAGGACUCACAAGGGACCAGACAAGACUCACUGAAGGCCAGCCAAGAGGGCCUACUUGGUUUAUUCUCAAGUCCACAUGAAGUACUUGACUCUAUUACAGUAGUGCUACUCAUUUAGCUAUAUUAUAAGAGACACGUACUCAUCUU